rnacentral:tRNA from 1 species
GUGGGGUAGAGCAGUUUGGUAGCUCGCAAGGCUCAUAACCUUGAGGUCACGGGUUCAAAUCCUGUCUCCGCA